rnacentral:rRNA from 1 species
GGCGAACGGGUGAGUAAUAUAUCGGAACGUGCCCUAGAGUGGGGGAUAACGUAGCGAAAGUUACGCUAAUACCGCAUACGAUCUACGGAUGAAAGUGGGGGAUUCGCAAGGACCUCAUGCUCGUGGAGCGGCCGAUAUCUGAUUAGCUAGUUGGUGGGGUAAAGGCCUACCAAGGCAUCGAUCAGUAGCUGGUCUGAGAGGACGACCAGCCACACUGGGACUGAGACACGGCCCAGACUCCAUACGGGAGGCAGCAGUGGGGAAUUUUGGACAAUGGGGGCAACCCUGAUCCAGCAAUGCCGCGUGUGUGAAGAAGGCCUUCGGGUUGUAAAGCACUUUUGUCAGGAACGAAAAGGUUACUGCUAAUACCGGUGACUGAUGACGGUACCUGAAGAAUAAGCACCGGCUAACUACGUGCCAGCAGCCGCGG